rnacentral:misc_RNA from 1 species
GAUGAAGAACGCAGCGAAAUGCGAUAAGUAAUGUGAAUUGCAGAAUUCAGUGAAUCAUCGAAUCUUUGAACGCACCUUGCGCUCCUUGGUAUUCCGAGGGGCAUGCCUGUUUGAGUGUCAUUUCAACCAUCAAGCCCUGCUUGUGUUGGGGUCCUGCGGCUGCCCGCAGGCCCUGAAAACCAGUGGCGGGCUCGCUAGUCACACCGAGCGCAGUAGCACAUCUCGCUCAGGGCGUGCGGCGGGUUCUUGCCGUAAAACACCCCCUUUUUACCAAGGUUGACCUCGGAUCAGGUAGGAAUACCCGCUGAACUUAAGCAUAUCAAUAAGCGGAGGA